rnacentral:rRNA from 1 species
GGUAGUAAUUAAACCAUUAUACAUUGGCGGUCUUAAUUUAUUAGAGGAACUCGCUUUAUAAUCGAAAAUACUCGUUAAUUUUUACUUAACUUAUAUAGCCUAUAUACCGCCGCAUAAAAAUAAUAUCAAUUUUAAAAUCUUAAUAAAUAAACAACCAGGUCAAGGUGUAGCCAAUAGUUAAGAAAAAGUAAGUUACAAUAAAGAAAAUUUAAGGAAGAAAUACAAAAGGUAUUACUAAAAAAGAAUCUAUAAGUACGUAUUAAUUAAAAUUUAAUACUGAAUAAACAAGUAAAGAUGC